rnacentral:rRNA from 1 species
UACGGAGGGGGCAAGCGUUGUUCGGAAUCACUGGGCUUAAAGGGCGCGUAGGCGGGCCAGCCAGUCUGUGGUGAAAGCCCCCGGCUUAACCGGGGAAGUGCCGUGGAUACUGCUGGCCUCGAGGAGGAUAGGGGCAUCUGGAACGGUCGGUGGAGCGGUGAAAUGCGUUGAUAUCGACCGGAACUCCGGUGGCGAAGGCGAGGUGCUGGGUCCUUUCUGACGCUGAUGCGCGAAAGCCAGGGGAGCAAACGGG